UAGGGAAUCUUCGGCAAUGGGGGCGAACCCUCGACCGACGCAACGCCGCGUGAGUGAAGAAGGUUUCGGAUCGUAAAGCUCUGUUGUAAGAGAAGAACACGAGUGAGAGUAACUGUUCAUUCGAUGACGGUAUCUAACCAGCAAGUCACGGCUAACUACGUGCCAG
rnacentral:rRNA from 1 species